GGGAUUCACAUUCAACUGUAGGCCAUAACAGAAUGGCACAAUCAUAAAACAAAACAUGGCAACAAAGGAAGAAAAUGAACUGACCCCUGAUCAAAAGUCUGCAUACCCUUAGUUCUUAACAUGACAAGGAAUGUGGGAUCACUGAGUGAAAUUAACUGGAAGUAUACACAUUAUUCCACAACGUAUGUUUUAUACUUAAUACUUCAAGUAAAAAAAAUAUUCAGCAAACAUAUACAAAUGGCAGAUUUAGAGAACACAUUUUAAAUUGCUUGCAAUUAAGUAACUCUUAUAGUUCAUGAGUACAAAUAAAAAAAUUCAUCCAACAAUCCUGAUAUUCAAAAGUCCUGUGGAAAUGUUCAAUGCUUGUACAAUUGAUAUCAAAGGUCUACACACUCUUAGUGAGAAGGCAGUCUACACACUCUUAGUGAGAAGGCAGUCUACACACUCUUAGUGAGAAGGCAGUCUACACACUUAGUGAGAAGGCAGUCUACACACUCUUAGUGAGAAGGCAGUCUACACACUCUUAGUGAGAAGCAGUCUACACACUUAGUGAGAAGGCAGCUUUUGUUGAUGUAAAGGCUGAAAUCAAGACCAAUCAUGUUGACUUUUUAUCCCCUUUAUUAACUAAUCUUGUAACCAACAUCAUAAGUGAAGGAUUUUUUAUUACUGGUAAUGCUUGGGCUGUGAAGGUGUGGACACUGCAUCAAGCACGUUUUGCUUGGAUUACAGCAGUAGGUCAGUUGAAUAGGUCUCCAUCAACCAAGCAUACCUUGGCAGGAGUUGAAACUGAGUCAAAAGGUUAGAUUCAUGUGAUAUUAUGAAUGCAAGAUCAAGCUGAUAAACAAUCACAUUGUUUUCACAGCCUGUUUUAGUUCAGAUUAACCCAGGGUGCCAAUUAUUCCACAGGGCACUGUACUUAUUUGCUGGCAGGUAAAUACUUACGCACAUCAAUCUCAAAACUCCCCAUUAAAACUAUUCUCUCUCAAUCUGCAAUGCAAGUAAAUGAGCACUUUAAUCCAAGGAGGAGUAAAUACUUUAUAAUAACCCACUGUAGGGAGUUUAACAGGGUGACCACCUGGGGUUGAAAGCUUUGUUUCCAAUUGUCUCUCUGUCCUGAUAAUGAUUGUCGUGAAACCUGCUUGCUGGAUGCACCGCAAAACAGCCCUUGGCCCCCCAGGUGGCUGAAGCCUGCGAUGUUCUGUGUGGCC
ensembl:lncRNA